GAUGAACGCUGGCGGCGUGCCUAAUACAUGCAAGUCGAGCGAACAGACGAGGAGCUUGCUCCUCUGACGUUAGCGGCGGACGGGUGAGUAACACGUGGAUAACCUACCUAUAAGACUGGGAUAACUUCGGGAAACCGGAGCUAAUACCGGAUAACAUGUUGAACCGCAUGGUUCAACAGUGAAAGACGGUCUUGCUGUCACUUAUAGAUGGAUCCGCGCCGCAUUAGCUAGUUGGUAAGGUAACGGCUUACCAAGGCAACGAUACGUAGCCGACCUGAGAGGGUGAUCGGCCACACUGGAACUGAGACACGGUCCAGACUCCUACGGGAGGCAGCAGUAGGGAAUCUUCCGCAAUGGGCGAAAGCCUGACGGAGCAACGCCGCGUGAGUGAAGAAGGUCUUCGGAUCGUAAAACUCUGUUAUUAGGGAAGAACAAAUGUGUAAGUAACUAUGCACGUCUUGACGGUACCUAAUCAGAAAGCCACGGCUAACUACGUG
rnacentral:rRNA from 1 species